rnacentral:rRNA from 1 species
CGCGGCCUAUCAGCUUGUUGGUGGGGUAAUGGCCUACCAAGGCGGCGACGGGUAGCCGGCCUGAGAGGGUGGACGGCCACAUUGGGACUGAGAUACGGCCCAGACUCCUACGGGAGGCAGCAGUGGGGAAUAUUGCACAAUGGGCGAAAGCCUGACGCAGCGACGCCGCGUGCGGGAAGACAGCCCUAAGGUUGUAAACCGCUUUCAGCAGGGACGAAAUUGACGGUACCUGCAGAAGAAGCCCCGGCCAACUACGUGCCAGCAGCCGCGGUAAUACGUAGGGGGCAAGCGUUGUCCGGAAUUAUUGGGCGUAAAGAGCUCGUAGGCGGCUUGGCAAGUCGGAUGUGAAAUCUCCUGGCUCAACUGGGAGGGGCCAUUCGAUACUGUCAUGGCUAGAGUCCGGUAGAGGAGUGUGGAAUUCCCGGUGUAGCGGUGAAAUGCGCAGAUAUCGGGAGGAACACCAAUAGCGAAGGCAGCACUCUGGGCCGGAACUGACGCUCAGGAGCGAAAGCGUGGGGAGCGAACAGGAUUAGAUACCCUGGUAGUCCACGCCGUAAACGUUGGGCACUAGGUGUGGGACUCCAUUGACGGGUUCCGUGCCGCAGCUAACGCAUUAAGUGCCCCGCCUGGGGAGUACGG